rnacentral:rRNA from 1 species
AGUGAACGCUGGCGGCAGGCCUAACACAUGCAAGUCGAACGGCAGCACAGUAAGAGCUUGCCCUUACGGGUGGCGAGUGGAGGACGGGUGAGGAAUACAUCGGCAUCUACUUUUUCGUGGGGGAAAACGUAGGGACACUUACGAUAAUACCGCAUACGACCUACGGGUGAAAGAAGAGGAUAUUAGGACCUUGCGCGUCUGAUAGAGACGGCGUCGGAUUAGCUAGUUGGCGGGGUAAAGGCCCACCAAGCCGACGAUCCGUAGCUGGUCUGAGAGGAUGAUCAGCCACACUGGAACUGAGACACGGUCCAGACUCCUACGGGAGGCAGCAGUGGGGAAUAUUCGACAAUGGGCGCAAGCCUGAUCCAGCCAUGCCGCGUGGGUGAAGAAGGCCUUCGGGUUGUAAAGCCCUUUUGUUGGGAAAGAAAAGCAGCAGGUGAAAACCCCGCUGUUCUGACGGUACCCAAAGAAUAAGCACCGGCUAACUUCGUG